rnacentral:lncRNA from 1 species
GUAUGUUAAUUGCAAGAUCAUCACAGUGACGUCAUACCAACACUUAGCCAGUGAAGCGUUCAUCUUGCUGAGUUCGCUCCUCCCCGUCGAUGAUAUCCAUAUAAGUAUUCCAACACCUCACUUCAAGAACCCCUUCGACAUCAGCAUCCCGCCACACCGUAUUCUCUCACCGCUCAACACCAAUUUGUCAAAACUCUUGAAUUCUCCCCCAGAACAUUGGUAAGCUUGAUCGAGAAAGGGCUCUUUUCCCUCUUCUUCCAUUCUCUUUGACACGACUCAUUUUGAUUUGGUGUGAUGGUUUAGCUAAAUAAUAUCGGUGGCUUCUGGUAGCUCUACAGUGGAAUUUCGGCUUGCUAACAUUUUUCUUACUGAAUAGAUACCGAACUGUAUAUAAGCAUUAAGGUAUUAGAAACAAUUUUUCUCGAACUUUCCCCCUUUCUGGUGCGUAAAGACAGGGAAAGUCUCUGCACUGCAUCACGGGUUGGAGAUUCGCAACUUCUGUGCCUGUAAGUUGGUGAAGAAAACACAAUGCUGUCGUAUGGACAGGUUGGAUUUGUUGCAGUGUCUAUGCUGUUUCUACUACAGAUAGUUACUGGUCUCAACAUUCAUAGAUUAACCCAAUCUCAGGAUCCAGUGCAAUCAGCAGCAGAGCAAGAGAUUGCCCACUUACUCCAACGUUAUCCAGAACAACAGGUCCUUGACAGAAAUAAGCGAUUUCCCAAAUUUUUGACGUGUGAAACAGACGACGACUGCGCAAGGUUAGAUCGGCCGGCUUGCUGCGCAAAAUCAGUCAUGGGUCCAUUCUGGGUGUGUAAAGCUUUGGGAGAACUCAACGCUGCUUGUAAUUCCUAUAGUAUGCCCCAUAUGUGGGGCGGACAGAGGAAUGGGCACUUCUGUCCUUGUAAGCAGCAUCUAGCAUGUGUAGGACAUAGACGAGGAGGGUGCGAUCUAAUAAGUGAUAAGUAGCUUGGUGUGUCCAUGGAGAUGGUGCACAUGAAAAGAGUCCUUUGUGACACAGAACCUUUGAAAAAAUAAAAAUGUGAAAUAAAAAAAAACAAUUCAGUGUGAAAUCGAUUUGAUAUAUUGGUUAGUUUAUCAACUUUAUGUUGAUAAGAUACGAAAAAUUAGGCUUCCUUUUAAGAUUUAAAAUAGAAUGAACGGCCCAGCAAUAUAUUUAAUAAGGUGAUAACACAUUGAUUAGGGUAUCAGGAGUUAUUUUUGGUCUCAGUUAUAGAAAUUCAAAUUAUUGAUAAUGAAUUUCAUAAAUGUUUAGCUCAUGAAAAUAUACGAAAUGUAUUCAUUUAGUCAAUGAAUAAAAUCUUCAAUAUAAUAAAGUAUCAAUCAAUAAUAGUGACCUUCGUAAAUAUUGGCAUUUAAAAAGUCUAAAAUAUUAUGUACAUUGGUGUUAUUAUUUUCUUAAAUAUUGUUUGAUUCCCACCAUGCGAUCAUACUCAAAAUGGAAUAUAGUCUAAAUCAUAGAAGAUGCAUUCAUAGCAAUCCGUUUAUAGCACUCUAAUUACUGAUCAUCUUGAAUUUUUAUGUCUAUUUCGUUGUUGUUGUUGUCAUUGAUUUUAAUUCAUUAAAUUGAAUGUAAAGUGAGCUCCAAUAGAUAUAUCGCGAGAACAUUCCAUUUAAUUUCAAGCAUUUUGAAUUGGUAUUAGGGUAAUGUCAUGGCAUAACAUUAAGCAAUGUAAAUAAUGAAAUACACACACUGUACCUAGGAGAGAGUGGCAUGCAUAUGAAUCAUUUUAUGAAAUAAGAAGUUCAAUACAAACUGUUAUUACUUCUGUUAUAUUAGCACUUGAAUAUUUAUCAUUUUUUAUAUUCAGCUCUAGUAAUUAUUUCCAGAGGAAAUAAGCAAGUCCUACCAUGCUCAAACAUUACUUACGUCAUGGUUGUUGUUCUACCACUCAUUGAAAAAUAAAAGUAAUUAUAAAGAUGUGUACUAUAGUUAUUUUAAUUAACGCCACCAUCGCCCAAAUAUAGGCUUUUGAAACUGUGUAAAUCCGACUGUGUCGUUCAUCUAUGCUAUCAAAAGAUAUUUAACUAUAUCCCCGUUUCAUAUAUUCAUAUCCAUCACCGAGACGUUGGAUUCUAAAAAAAAGAACAUAAUUCUCCUGACUCGGGUAUGAGAACGUUUAUUGUCCACGUUCUUGAUGAGUUUUCAUGUAAUUACUAGCUGUAAGGAUUUAAACAAAUCCGCCUUUAUCCUGUCUUUAUGAUUCAAAUAAAGGUAUAGAAGCAGAAUAAGGAGGGGCAGUCUGAGAAAACUCUUUUCUUUGUAGUCCACCUCAAUAGCAAUUAUAUCCCAAAAUUAUUUCAACAAAAGUAACCCCGUUUUAUCUAUAAUUUCACCAACACUGUUCAUAACAUGUAGUACAAUACCAAGCCAGAAUUGUUGCCAUCUUCAAAAGUCUUUACUACGACUACAACAAUAAUUGCCUGUCUAUUCAUGAAAUCUACAAUUAGGCCUUAUAUUAACCAAUAUUUUGUUAGUACAUGUUAGUACAGAAGGAAAAAUAAUUGACAUAAAUUAUAGCAUCUGUAUCUUUUUCUGAAUAUAUGCACUUUUUUUUCAAUUAAAUUAUUUUGAUACGCUUGAAUAUCAAUCAUGGUAAAACAAAGUUCGCAUCAUGAUGAUAACAAACGUAUUUUCUUUAUGUUGCGUGUUCUGUAUUAUAUUGCUUUAAAAAAAUAUUUAUUUCUAGUCGAUUGAAAUUAAAGUUUAGAUGUAUAUUUAUGCACCCGGGCGACUUCUGUCUAUAUUCUGUUCCUAUUCAGCGUUCGGUGAAUGCCGUUGUAUUAAAAAAUAGAAUCUACUGCA